UUGGAGGGCAAGUCUGGUGCCAGCAGCCGCGGUAAUUCCAGCUCCAAUAGCGUAUAUUAAAGUUGUUGCAGUUAAAAAGCUCGUAGUUGAAACUUGGGUCUGGCUGGCAGGUCCGCCUCACCGCGUGUACUUGUCCGGCCGGGCCUUUCCUUCUGGAGAACCUCAUGCCCUUCACUGGGCGUGCUGGGGAACCAGGACUUUUACUUUGAAACAAUUAGAGUGUUCAAAGCAGGCCUUUGCUCGAAUACGUUAGCAUGGAAUAAUAGAAUAGGACGUGCGGUCCUAUUUUGUUGGUUUUUA
rnacentral:rRNA from 1 species